rnacentral:sRNA from 1 species
AGUAUGUCUCAAGUAGAAAAGGCAUGAAAAGUCAUGUGAACUUUAGAUUGUGUAGCCAGCAAUUUUUUGCUACUUUUUGUUUCUGAAAAAUUCCUCAGCAGUCCUAAAGAGAAGAGUGACUCACACACUUGUGUAAAGCCAGGGUUGGAGUCUGGACCUCCUGGUUUCUGAAUCAUGACAUGUUACUGCUGCUUCUAGGUCCAAAAUGGUAUUAACUGUAAGAAAACAAAUGCUCUUUAUCUCAAUUACUUGGGCGUCUUUGGUUGGUGAGAAGUGACUGGUGUGUACUAUGAGUGUAAAUGUGUGUGUUUUUGUGUAUUUUCCUCCAUUUCUCCCAGGAAGGAAAGGAGGUGAGCUGGCCUCAGCUGUCCACGCCUACACAAAAACAGGAGACCCGUACAUGCGGUCUCUGGUGCAGCACAUCCUCAGCCUCGUGUCUCAUCCUGUUUUGAGCUUCCUGUACCGCUGGAUAUAUGAUGGGGAGCUUGAGGACACUUACCACGAAUUUUUUGUAGCAUCAGAUCCAACAGUUAAAACAGAUCGACUGUGGCACGACAAGUAUACUUUGAGGAAAUCGAUGAUUCCUUCGUUUAUUACGAUGGAUCAGUCUAGGAAGGUCCUUUUGAUAGGAAAAUCAAUAAAUUUCUUGCACCAAGUUUGUCAUGAUCAGACUCCCACUACAAAGAUGAUAGCUGUGACCAAGUCUGCAGAGUCACCCCAGGACGCUGCAGACCUAUUCACAGACUUGGAAAAUGCAUUUCAGGGGAAGAUUGAUGCUGCUUAUUUUGAGACCAGCAAAUACCUGUUGGAUGUUCUCAAUAAAAAGUACAGCUUGCUGGACCACAUGCAGGCAAUGAGGCGGUACCUGCUUCUUGGUCAAGGAGACUUUAUAAGGCACUUAAUGGACUUGCUAAA